UACGAAGGUGGCAAGCGUUGUUCGGAUUUACUGGGCGUACAGGGAGCGUAGGCGGUUGGAUAAGCCUUCCGUGAAAUCUCCAGGCUUAACCUGGAAAGUGCAGAGGGGACUGUUCAGCUAGAGGAUGGGAGAGGAGCGCGGAAUUCCCGGUGUAGCGGUGAAAUGCGUAGAGAUCGGGAGGAAGGCCGGUGGCGAAGGCGGCGCUCUGGAACAUUUCUGACGCUGAGGCUCGAAAGCGUGGGGAGCAAACAGG
rnacentral:rRNA from 1 species